rnacentral:rRNA from 1 species
GAUGAACGCUGGCGGCGUGCCUAAUACAUGCAAGUCGAGCGAACGGACGAGAAGCUUGCUUCUCUGAUGUUAGCGGCGGACGGGUGAGUAACACGUGGAUAACCUACCUAUAAGACUGGGAUAACUUCGGGAAACCGGAGCUAAUACCGGAUAAUAUUUUGAACCGCAUGGUUCAAAAGUGAAAGACGGUCUUGCUGUCACUUAUAGCUGGCUCCGCGCUGCAUUAGCUAGUUGGUAAGGUAACGGCUUACCAAGGCAACGAUGCAUAGCCGACCUGAGAGGGUGAUCGGCCACACGGGAACUGAGACACGGUCCAGACUCCGACGGGAGGCAGCAGUAGGGAAUCUUCCGCAAUGGGCGAAAGCCUGACGGAGCAACGCCGCGUGAGUGAUGAAGGUCUUCGGAUCGUAAAACUCUGUUAUUAGGGAAGAACAUAUGUGUAAGUAACUGUGCACAUCUUGACGGUACCUAAUCAGAAAGCCACGGCUAACUACGUG